GAGAGUAAUACCUUAUACGCCCUUUGGGGGAAAGAUUUAUCGGAGAAGGAUUAGCCCGCGUUAGAUUAGGUAGUUGGUGGGGUAAUGGCCUACCAAGCCUACGAUCUAUAGCUGGUUUGAGAGGAUGAUCAGCCACACUGGGACUGAGACACGGCCCAGACUCCUACGGGAGGCAGCAGUAGGGAAUCUUAGACAAUGGGGGCAACCCUGAUCUAGCCAUGCCGCGUGUGUGAUGAAGGCCCUAGGGUCGUAAAGCACUUUCGCCAGAGAUGAUAAUGACAGUAUCUGGUAAAGAAACCCCGGCUAACUCCGUGCCAGCAGCCGCGGUAAUACGGAGGGGGUUAGCGUUGUUCGGAAUUACUGGGCGUAAAGCGCACGUAGGCGGAUUAGUAAGUUAGAGGUGAAAUCCCAGGGCUCAACCCUGGAACUGCCUUUAAUACUGCUAGUCUUGAGUUCGAGAGAGGUAAGUGGAAUUCCGAGUGUAGAGGUGAAAUUCGUAGAUAUUCGGAGGAACACCAGUGGCGAAGGCGGCUUACUGGCUCGAUACUGACGCUGAGGUGCGAAAGUGUGGGGAGCAAACAGGAUUAGAUACCCUGGUAGUCCACACCGUAAACGAUGAAUGCCAGACGUCAGCAAGUAUACUUGUUGGUGUCA
rnacentral:rRNA from 1 species